UGACAAAAGGUGUCAUUUGUCCCGCCCUAACGGGUGCAACAACACUAACAGUGGACUCAGGAAGAUGUCAAUCACUCAGUCUAACCACACCCACAAGGUCCUGGAAAAGGUCCAAUCAGCCACAUUAACUAUAAACACCUUCAACGGGUUCAUGGCCUAUAAAA